rnacentral:rRNA from 1 species
UUAGAUCGAUGAUACGCGAUAUCUUUAGCUUAAACCUAGUUUUAUACCGCCGUCCAAAGGGUAAAAUUAAAUAUUUUAUCCGCUUCAUACCCCACCAAGUAGAAAUGUCAGGUCAAGGUGAAGUCAAUGUUUGAGUUUUAAUGAGUUAUCAAUAAAAAUAAUUUAUGGACUUCUGUUUAAAAACAAAAAUCGAAUUAAGAUUUAAAAGUAUUUUCAAUUUAAUAUAUUAAAAAGAAUAAGCAAAAAAGGUGUACAUAUCGCCCGUCACCCUCGUCCAAAGAUGAGGUAAGUCGUAACACAGUUAAUAUACUGGAAAGUGUAUUAAGCGUACUGGUUUUAGCUUUUAGCAUUUCACUUACACCGAAAAGAUGUCAAUUACUUUAUUCCUAAUUUUUUUUUACAAAAUCUUUGAUCUUAUAUCUAUCUAACCCAACAUCUUAAAAACUGAAAAGGAGCAUUAGAACAUAACUAAAGUAAAAUUAUGUACCUUUUGUAUCAGGGAUUAUCAAACCACCAUGUAUACAUCAAACUCCCGAAACAAGACGAACUUUGUAUUUUAGUAAUAGUUAUGGCAUAAACAAUAUAAAUUAUACAAAGUUGAGAUAUUCUUUUCAAGUCUUUCCUUAUCUGGUUCACUACCCAUUCAUCUCACAAAACAGUGCAAAGAACAAGCUUUGCACUUAGGAUUAUUUACACCCCCCCCCACAAUCUAGAUUUAACAGUAUCCACAUUGUCCUCAAACUUCAUCACCCUAUUUUAUUCAAACAAAAAUCAAGUGCCCCAUCCCAUUAUCCUUACAAUGAUAAUAUUAGUAAAAAUUUUCCUUUUUUGUUUCUCUAAACCCAUCUUUCACACACAAAUUUACGUCGAAAUUAUGAACUAGGCCCUCAAUCAAUUGACUGUUUACCAAAAACAUAGCUAAUAGGUAGCAAUUACUAGUAGUACCUGCUCCAUGAAAAA